UUGGAGGGCAAGUCUGGUGCCAGCAGCCGCGGUAAUUCCAGCUCCAAUAGCGUAUAUUAAAGUUGUUGCAGUUAAAAAGCUCGUAGUUGAAUUUCGGGAUCAAUUUAUUGGUCGUGCUAUUGUACGUACUGGUAUUAUUGAUUCCUACCUUCUGACGAACCAUGAUGUCAUUAAUUUGGUGUCUUGGGGAAUCGGGACUGUUACUUUGAAAAAAUUAGAGUGUUUAAAGCAGGCUCACGCUUGAAUACAUUAGCAUGGAAUAACGAAAUAGGACGUUUGAUUCUAUUUUGUUGGUUUCUAGGAUCGACGUAAUGAUUAAUAGGGAUAGUUGGGGGCAUUAGUAUUCAAUUGUCAGAGGUGAAAUUCUUGGAUUUAUUG
rnacentral:rRNA from 1 species